rnacentral:misc_RNA from 1 species
GGGGAAAAUCCAUUAAUUGGAACAAUCCAAAUACAGAAUUGUCAACACUGACAGGAACCAAACUACCAGAGGAAUUUCUGAGUCUCACAUCCUGUCAUGUUUAAGUGCUUAAAAGAAACCAUAAGUUUACAGACCUUCAAACAAUCUUAAAUGGUCUUCGAAUGUCUCCCCAUGACGGAUUUUGGACAGUGAUCCAUCUUCUUCCACCCAGUACUCUGGUGGGCGCAUCUUGAGAUUGUAAGUUGAUGCCAUACUCAUGCAGUAAGCACCUGCAUCGUGAACUACCAAACCAGUGCCCCUAGAAGGGGCGGGAAGUUCACGGUCCUUCCCCAGGAAAUCAGCUGACUCACAUACAGGACCAACAACAUCAAACUUAGCAAUUGCAGCUUCCGGAGGUGGAGGGGAAACAAGCUCUAUGUGCUGAUAAGCAUCAUAAAGACUUGGACGUAUAAGCUCAGCCAUACUACCAUCAAUCACAAUAAAGUUCUUGGUCCCAUUGGUUUUCACUCCAGUAACUCUGUUAACCAAGCAGCAUGUGUUUGCAAUUAGUGAUCUUCCAGGUUCAAUAAUGAGAUUGAGGUUUCGAGAAAGGACUAAUUCUCGUACCGUAUUAAUAAGAUCUCUAGGUGAAGGAAGGAUAGCUCCAGCAUGAUAGUAAUCAAUCCCUAAACCACCUCCAAUAUUCAGGUAAUCAAUUUCAAAUCCUUGAGAUCGGAUUUCGUCAAUGUAGUUCACCAUCAAGACAGCUGCAUCUCGAAAAAUGUCUACCUUGGUGAUAGUUGACCCAAGAUGACAAUGAGCUCCAACAAGUUUCAAUUCCUGAGGAUGUGCCUUGACAGCAUCUAGAAACCAUUGCAGCUUCUCAUUUCUGAUGCCAAAUUUGGAGCUCUUAUUCCCGGUGGCAACAUAAGGAUGAACCUGGGGAUCUACAUCUGGAUUAAUCCUGAGUAGCACGUUAACUUUCUUCCCAGCCAGUCUUGCAGCUGCUACAAUGUUAUCCAAGUCAAAUUCACUGUCGAUGUUUACAAACACACCUGCUUGGGCAGCUAGCACUAGGUCCUCUAACAGCUUUCCAUUUCCAUUAAAAAUACACUUGGUAGGAUCAAAUCCAGCACCAAGUGCCAAUUUGAGUUCAUUCCCACUAACCAAAACAGCUCCACAACCAAGGCUCCUCAAAUGUUCCAAAAUCUUGAGAUUAUUGUUGGCCUUAAUAGCGUAACCAAUAAUUGAAUCCAAGCCCUCUAAAGCGGCCUUAUAAGCCUCAACGUUCCUAGUAAUUUGGGGCUUACUAUAUAAAUAAAAGGGUCGUCUUUCGACAGUCUCCAUAACAUCUUCAACCUUAACACCCUCACAAUACAAAAACCCAUCUUCAAAUUUCUUGAAACAAUGCUGAAAUUUCUGAGUUUGAGGCUCAGAAGUUGAUACAGAUGCCCUUAUGCUAAGGUUUCUUGAAAUGGGCUUCAACGGAAAAUUGGGUUUGAAAAAAGAAAGUUUUUGUGAUGCAUUUGAUGGGUAUUUGAGGGACUUGUGAAGUGAUGGAGAGUGUGAGACAAGGUGUGUAGCCGCCAUUGUUGGAGUAAAGAUACCAAAAGGCUUUUAGACUUGAUGAAAUUAC